GAUGAAGAACGCAGCGAAAUGCGAUAAGUAGUGUGAAUUGCAGAAUUCAGUGAAUCAUCGAAUCUUUGAACGCACAUUGCGCCUCCUGGCAUUCCGGGAGGCAUGCCUGUUCGAGCGUCAUCAAACCCCAUCGUGCAAAUGAAUUAUUUUUUUUGCGCGGAAGUGACGAUUGAGCGAGAAUAACAAAUCCUCUCGCACCUCGUCGAAAUGAUUGCGGGCGGAAUUUGGGAUCGGGUUCCUCGGCGUAGUGUAUCAAUGCAUAUUUAUGCAACUUGCCGCGGAGUUGAGCCUGACCCACGCGUUCUCGCCGUACAAACUCCUCAUUACUUUACAAGUUUUUGACCUCGGAUCAGGUAGGGAUACCCGCUGAACUUAAGCAUAUCAAUAAGCGGAGGA
rnacentral:misc_RNA from 1 species